rnacentral:rRNA from 1 species
AGCAGUAUUGAACUGAAGAGUUUGAUCAUGGCUCAGAUUGAACGCUGGCGGCAGGCCUAACACAUGCAAGUCGAGCGGAUGAAGGGAGCUUGCUCCUGGAUUCAGCGGCGGACGGGUGAGUAAUGCCUAGGAAUCUGCCUGGUAGUGGGGGAUAACGUCCGGAAACGGGCGCUAAUACCGCAUACGUCCUGAGGGAGAAAGUGGGGGAUCU